UGUGGAUAUGCUAGUUGGAUUUGAAUCUAAAGAAUGAUUUUAUGUCAUGACUUCCGCACCUACUUUACAGUGUACUUUCAUUAGUUGUAAUAGAUUUUGUGUUUGGCAUCGAGGUUAUCAACCAUGGGGGAGUGAGUAAUAAGUCUUGUCGUAUGAUUUGUUGUGUUCUGAAAUGAAGUUGGACUAUAUAAUUUUUUGAUAAGGUGUAAAUGAAUGGAUGUUGUUUGGUAAUCUUGCUUUUUGUUUUCCCCGUGUUAGUGGAGUAAUCUUCAUGGUUAUGAAUGGGAACUACGUGGUAGAGGUAUCUCUGUAGACCCUAGAAUGGUGUAUGGUUUAUUUAGAAUCCGUGCGUAGGAGACAUUUGAUGGUAAUGAAUGUCAUGUAUAAUAUGGGAGCUCGAAUGGUGCUUGAAAUGUGUAUAUGUGGUGUUGGAAUUUUGUUGACUAAGAUGUAACUUUUAAACUUUAAUGAGAAAAUUUGUGAAGGAAAAGAUGAUUUGAGGACCCAUCUUGAAAGUGAGGAGAGAUGGAACUUAUUACUCAAAGGUAGACCAUUGACACCAUCUGUCGCUGAGCUUCUAGUAGAAUAAUUAUUGAAAUUAUGGUAUUAUUUUGAUGUGAAUCUUCCUUCUAAAUCAUGGUUUUUGUGUGUGUGUGUGUAUGUGUGGUGGUUGGGUGGGUGGGGGGGAUGGUUUCACGUUUGUGACUGUAUAUCUAUAUGAUUUAUUAUACAAAAUUAAUUUGGAUCCUUACUUUUCAUGCAUGUGCUUGCUUGAUGUUUUGUGUAUGGAAUGAAUUUGGAGAUUACCAGGUAUUAAAAAGUCGAGGAUUGUUGGAUAACACUAUUUAAGAGAUUGAAGGAAUUUUAUGGAAUUUAUUAUGGGAUAGUACUGUUGACUACUGAAAUUAAUGAUGGCGCUUGCUGCUGCUUCUCAGCAUUAUACAGUUGGAAUUCCUUGUUUACAAGGACUGGAUUCAUGUACUAACAGAAAGGAAGCUAGUGCUAGUUUUGUCCCUUGUACAAUUGUGAAACCAUCUCAGUCCAACUUGGCUUCUCUGUCAAAAUAUAGCGAUAAACUUGAAUUAUGUUUACUAAGGUCUGGAUUUAGUUUUGGGAGAAAUAAUUUCCGGUUGAAGUGCAGAGCUCAACAUGGUAAUGUCUGCAUUGACGAUGUCGAUGAGAUUGGACGUGAUAGAUGGAAAUGGAGGUCUCAAAGAUAUACAUCUGGUGUACAAAAGAAUGCUAGACAAACUAGUUUGAAAAGGACUGUUUCAUCAUUUGAAGGACCCUUUGUUGAGAAUAAUGAGCUAAAAAACAAUGAUAUUCUUCAAAAAUUCUGCAGCUAUGGAAAGCUGUUUGAAGCAACAAGGUUGGUAGAGGUCAUGGCCCGUCAAAGUCAAAUUCCUCACUUCCCUUCUUGUAUAAAUUUGAUACGUGGUCUCGUUAAACAAGAUCAGGUUGAGAAAGCAGCAAAAGUCUUGCAAAUUGUGGUCAUGUCGGGUGGUGUUCCUGAUGUUAUAACAUACAACAUGUUGAUUGGGGGAUUGUGCAAAAGUGGGCAGUUAAACUCUGCCAUUGAGUUCUUGGAAGAUAUGAGUUCAAGCGGCUGCUCUCCAGAUGCAAUCACAUAUAAUACAAUCAUCAGAAGUUUCUUUGAUAGGGGCUUGUUUGAUCAAGCUAUUGCAUUUUGGAAGGAGCAACUUAGGAAGGGAUGUCCUCCAUAUGUUAUCACAUAUACAAUUCUGUUAGAGUUGGUUAUGAAACAUUGUGGGUUAGUAAGAGCUCUUAAAGUGUUGGAUGAUUUUUCUGUUGAAGGCUGUUAUCCUGACCGGGUCACCUAUAAUUCACUGGUAAACUCUACUUGUAAAAAAGGAAAUUUCAAAGAAAUGGCUUUGGUGAUGCAUAAUCUAGUAUCUCACGGUUUGGAGCCAAAUGCUGUGACUUACAACACUAUCCUCCAUGCUAUUUGCAGCCAUGGUUAUUGGGAAGAAGCUGAUGAUAUUUUGUCCAUCAUGAAUCAAACUUCUCACCAGCCAACAGUUGUUACCUAUAAUAUCUUAAUCAAUGGUUUGUGUAAGUAUGGGCUCCUGGAUCGCGCCAUAAAUUUUCUUGAUCAAAUGGUUAGCAAUAACCUUUCCCCGGAUAUAAUCACUUACAACACCCUAUUAGCAGCUGUUUGUAAAGAAGGAAUGUUGGAUGAGGCUCUUUGCAUUGUUAGGCUUUUAAAUGAUAGAAACUGCUCUCCUGGCUUGAUUACUUAUAAUAUUGUCAUGGAUGGUUUGGCUAAGAAUGGUUCUAUGAAGAAAGCAAUGCAAGUGUACAGUGAGAUGAUAGAUAAGAGGAUUAGUCCAGAUGAUAUAACUCAUCGUUGUCUAGUCUGGGGCUUUUGUCGGGCAGAUAAAUUUGAUGAGUGUGUGGAGGUACUCAGGGAGAUGGAUAGAAGAAACCACAAGAUUUUAAAUAACUUUUACAGGUUUAUGAUUCUCGAGUUGUGUAAAAAUGAGAAGAUGGAUAUUGCAAUUCAAGUUCUUGAAAUCAUGAUAUCCAAUCAGAUCAAGCCAGAUGCAACUGUUUAUACCAGUUUAAUUAGAGGAAUAGCUGCUUAUGGUAUGAUGGAAGAAGCUCAAAAACUCUCUUCUAAGCUUGUUGAGUGGGGGGUUUUAAGAGGAGGUGUUAAGCUAAAUUGAGAUGCAACAUUUGAUAUCUUCAACAUUCUGAGUACAAGUGAGCAUCUUCAUUCAUUUAAUAUCUCCUGGUUUCAGACCAAGUAUGGUUCCCCAACUUGAUUUUGUGCCAAACAAAAGAUUCCAAACAUCAAUCUUCACGUGGCCGAUUCUUCUGCGUUGAGUACAUCAAUUUUCCUUCUCGGUAAUUUGGCAAUUCUGAUAUGAAUGUGGUGAAGGUACUCUGAGCUCUGUAAUGUAGGGAAGGCAAUUAGGGAAUACUUCAGUUGUAUAUAUUGUCAUUUGGGUUUUUUUGGUAUUUUGUUUUUGUUGAAACUCAGUUUGUUAAACAUUCGACUGCAUAUUUCAAGAGAGAGAAAAAGGAAGAUGAUUCUUGUAAAAAUCUGUCACUACCAGUGGUUGUGGACUGCUGAGGGUUUUCUUGUAUAUUUAUUUAUUUUUUUUCCUUUUAA